UGAGGAAUAUUGGACAAUGGGCGCAAGCCUGAUCCAGCAAUGCCGCGUGUGUGAAGAAGGCCUUCGGGUUGUAAAGCACUUUUAUCAGGAGCGAAACGCUGUCGGCUAAUACCCGGCGGAACUGACGGUACCUGAGGAAUAAGCACCGGCUAACUUCGUGCCAGCAGCCGCGGUAAUACGAAGGGUGCGAGCGUUAAUCGGAAUUACUGGGCGUAAAGCGUGCGUAGGCGGUUUCUUAAGUCUGCUGUGAAAUCCCCGGGCUCAACCUGGGAAUGGCAGUGGAUACUGGGAGGCUAGAGUGUGUCAGAGGGUGGUGGAAUUCCCGGUGUAGCGGUGAAAUGCGUAGAGAUCGGGAGGAACAUCAGUGGCGAAGGCGGCCACCUGGGACAACACUGACGCUGAGGCACGAAAGCGUGGGGAGCAAACAGGAUUAGAUACCCUGGUAGUCCACGCCCUAAAGCGAUGCGAACUGGAUGUUGGUCUCAACUCGGAGAUCAGUGUCGAAGCUAACGCGUUAAGUUCGCCGCCUGGGGAGUACGGUCGCAAGACUGAAACUUAAAUGAAUUGACGGGGUCAUAGCUGUUUCC
rnacentral:rRNA from 1 species